AACGCACAUUGCGCCUUAUGGUAUUCCAUAAGGCAUGCCUGUCUGAGCGUCAGCUCCCCCCCACUCAAGCACUUUAUGCUUGGAAUAUUUUGGAUGAGCAGCUGCCAUGGUUGCUGUCCAUAAAUUCAUAGGCAGUAUGGUUUUCUUUCCAGGCUGGGCGUGAUAAAUUACACUUAUACCGUUCAAUAUUGGAGGCAUCGUACUUGCCCUAAACCCACAACAUAUUUUUUUUGGGUGACCUCAGAUCAGGUAGGGAUACCCGCUGAACUUAA
rnacentral:misc_RNA from 1 species